rnacentral:rRNA from 1 species
GAGGAAUAUUGGUCAAUGGGCGCAAGCCUGAACCAGCCAUCCCGCGUGAAGGAUGAAGGCCCUAUGGGUCGUAAACUUCUUUUAUAUGCCAAGAAAACGACCUACGAGUAGGUUUUUGACGGUAGUAUAUGAAUAAGCAUCGGCUAACUCCGUGCCAGCAGCCGCGGUAAUACGGAGGAUGCGAGCGUUAUCCGGAUUCAUUGGGUUUAAAGGGUGCGUAGGCGGUUUUUUAAGUCAGUGGUGAAAUCCUGCGGCUCAACCGUAGAACUGCCAUUGAAACUGAAAAACUUGAAUAUAAUUGAGGUAGGCGGAAUGAGUAGUGUAGCGGUGAAAUGCUUAGAUAUUACUCAGAACACCAAUUGCGAAGGCAGCUUACCAAGCUAUAAUUGACGCUGAGGCACGAAAGCGUGGGGAUCGAAC